UGGUGGAGUGAUUUGUCUGGUUAAUUCCGUUAACGAACGAGAUCUCGGCUUGCUAAAUAGACCAUCGAAGUCUAGGCUUCGAUCGGGACUUCUUAGAGGGACUGUCGGUUUCUAACCGAAGGAAGUUCGAGGCAAUAACA
rnacentral:rRNA from 1 species